GGACACAUGGCGCAAUGGCAGCGCCUGGGCCACGUGAGCCUAGCCAUACAGGUUCGAUUCCUGUUGUGUCCACCA
rnacentral:tRNA from 1 species